GAUGAGCCCGCGUUGGAUUAGCUAGUUGGUGGGGUACCGGCCUACCAAGGCGACGAUCCAUAGCUGGUCUGAGAGGAUGAUCAGCCACAUUGGGACUGAGACACGGCCCAAACUCCUACGGGAGGCAGCAGUGGGGAAUAUUGGACAAUGGGCGCAAGCCUGAUCCAGCCAUGCCGCGUGAGUGAUGAAGGCCUUAGGGUUGUAAAGCUCUUUCACCGGAGAAGAUAAUGACGGUAUCCGGAGAAGAAGCCCCGGCUAACUUCGUGCCAGCAGCCGCGGUAAUACGAAGGGGGCUAGCGUUGUUCGGAAUUACUGGGCGUAAAGCGCACGUAGGCGGAUAUUUAAGUCAGGGGUGAAAUCCCAGAGCUCAACUCUGGAACUGCCUUUGAUACUGGGUAUCUUGAGUAUGGAAGAGGUAAGUGGAAUUGCGAGUGUAGAGGUGAAAUUCGUAGAUAUUCGCAGGAACACCAGUGGCGAAGGCGGCUUACUGGUCCAUUACUGACGCUGAGGUGCGAAAGCGUGGGGAGCA
rnacentral:rRNA from 1 species